rnacentral:rRNA from 1 species
AGUAGUUUGAUCAGUGGCUCGAGGACGAACGCUGGCGGUGUGCUUCACACAUGCAAGUCGAACGAGGUAGCAAUACCUAGUGGCGGACGGGUGAGUAACGCGUGGGAAUCUGCCUUUAGAUGGGGGAUAACGGGUCGAAAGACUCGCUAAUACCGCAUAUGACGAAAGUUGAAAAGGAGUAAUCCGUCUAAAGAUGAGCCCGCGUCCGAUUAGCUAGUUGGUAGAGUAAAAGCCUACCAAGGCGACGAUCGGUAGCUGGUCUGAGAGGAUGAUCAGCCACAAUGGGACUGAGACACGGCCCAUACUCCUACGGGAGGCAGCAGUGGGGAAUUUUACGCAAUGGGCGAAAGCCUGACGUAGCGACACCGCGUGAGCGAAGAAGCCCCUUGGGGUAUAAAGCUCUGUCAGCUGGAACGAAAAAAUGACGGUACUAGCAGAGGAAGCAUCGGCUAACUACGUG